GGGAUCAGUGUGAUCGCUGGUGUGGAUGGGAGCAUCACUGGGAUCCAUGGGAUCAGUUGGAUCGUUGGGAUGGAUGGAAUCAUCAGUGGGGUCAUGGGAUCGAUGGGUGACAUGGGUGGGAUCAAUGGUGGGAUCAAUGGGAUGGAUGGGAUCAUUGGGGUCAUGGGUUCAAUGGGUGAUAUGGGUGGGAUCAUGGCUGGGAUCAUCAGCGGCAUCCAUGGGAUCUGUGGGAUCAGUGGGAUGGAUGGGAUGAUCAGUGAGGUCAUGGGACCAGUGUGAUCCUGGUGUGGAUGGGAUCAUCACUGGGAUCCAUGGGAUCAGUGGGAUUGCUGGGAUGGGUGGGAUCAUCAGUGGGGUGAUGAGAUCAGUGGGAUUGCAGGGAUGGAUGGGACCAUCAGUGGGGUCAUGGGAUCAGUGUGAUCGCUGGUGUGGAUGGGAGCAUCACUGGGAUCCAUGGGAUCAGUGGGAUCGUUGGGAUGGAUGGGAUCAUCAGUGGGGUCAUGGGAUGGAUGAAUGGUUGACAUGGGUGAGGUCACUGGUGGCAUCAGUGGGAUCAGUGGGAUUUCUGGGAUGGAUGGGGUCAUCAGUGAGGUCAUGGGUUCAGUGUGAUCGCUGGUGUGGAUGGGAGCAUCACUGGGAUCCAUGGGAUCAGUGGGAUCAGUGGGAUGGAUGGGAUCAUCGGUGGGGUCAUGGGGUUGAUGGGUGACAUGGGUGGGAUCAGGGAUGGA
rnacentral:lncRNA from 7 species